rnacentral:rRNA from 1 species
CAACCCAGACCGCCAGCUAAGGUCCCAAAGUCAUAGUUAAGUGGGAAACGAAGUGGGAAGGCUCAGACAGCCAGGAUGUUGGCUUAGAAGCAGCCAUCAUUUAAAGAAAGCGUAAUAGCUCACUGGUCGAGUCGGCCUGCGCGGAAGAUGUAACGGGGCUAAACUAUGCACCGAAGCUGCGGCAGCGAUAUGUAAAUAUUGUUGGGUAGGGGAGCGUUCUGUAAGCCUGUGAAGGUGUGCUGUGAGGCAUGCUGGAGGUAUCAGAAGUGCGAAUGCUGACAUAAGUAACGAUAAUGCGGGUGAAAAACCCGCACGCCGGAAGACCAAGGGUUCCUGUCCAACGUUAAUCGGGGCAGGGUGAGUCGACCCCUAAGGCGAGGCAGAAAUGCGUAGUCGAUGGGAAACGGGUUAAUAUUCCCGUACUGGUGAUAAUUGCGAUGGGGGGACGGAGAAGGCUAGGCUAUCCGGGCGACGGUUGUCCCGGUUUAAGGAUGUAGGCAGGUGAAUUAGGCAAAUCCGGUUCACUAUAUGCUGAGGUCCGAUGACGAGUCACUACGGUGAUGAAGUAGCUCAUGCCCCGCUUCCAGGAAAAGCCUCUAAGCUCUAGAUUAUCAUUAAUCGUACCCCAAACCGACACAGGUGGUCAGGUAGAGAAUACUCAGGCGCUUGAGAGAACUCGGGUGAAGGAACUAGGCAAAAUGGUGCCGUAACUUCGGGAGAAGGCACGCUGGCAUUAGGUGAAGUGAUUUACUCAUGGAGCUGAAGCCAGUCGCAGAUACCAGCUGGCUGCAACUGUUUAUUAAAAACACAGCACUGUGCAAACACGAAAGUGGACGUAUACGGUGUGACGCCUGCCCGGUGCUGGAAGGUUAAUUGAUGGGGUUAUCCGUAAGGAGAAGCUCUUGAUCGAAGCCCCAGUAAACGGCGGCCGUAACUAUAACGGUCCUAAGGUAGCGAAAUUCCUUGUCGGGUAAGUUCCGACCUGCACGAAUGGCGUAAUGAUGGCCAGGCUGUCUCCACCCGAGACUCAGUGAAAUUGAACUCGCUGUGAAGAUGCAGUGUACCCGCGGCAAGACGGAAAGACCCCGUGAACCUUUACUAUAGCUUGACACUGAACAUUGAGCCUUGAUGUGUAGGAUAGGUGGGAGGCUUYGAAGCGUGGACGCCAGUCUGCGUGGAGCCAACCUUGAAAUACCACCCUUUAAUGUUUGAUGUUCUAACGUUGCCCCAUUAUCUGGGGUGCGGACAGUGUCUGGUGGGUAGUUUGACUGGGGCGGUCUCCUCCCAAAGAGUAACGGAGGAGCACGAAGGUUGGCUAAGCAUGGUCGGACAUCAUGCGGUUAGUGCAAAGGCAUAAGCCAGCUUGACUGCGAGAGUGACGGCUCGAGCAGGUACGAAAGUAGGUCUUAGUGAUCCGGUGGUUCUGAAUGGAAGGGCCAUCGCUCAACG